rnacentral:rRNA from 1 species
UACGUAGGGGGCAAGCGUUGUCCGGAUUUAUUGGGCGUAAAGAGCGUGUAGGCGGCCACACAGGUCUGCUGUGAAAACUCGAGGCUCAACCUCGAGCUGUCGGUGGAAACCGUGUGGCUAGAGUCCGGAAGAGGAGAGUGGAAUUCCUGGUGUAGCGGUGGAAUGCGCAGAUAUCAGGAGGAACACCAAUAGCGAAGGCAGCUCGCUGGGACGGUACUGACGCUAAGGCGCGAAAGCGUGGGGAGCGAACGGG